GGGCUUGUAGCUCAGUUGGUUAGAGCGCAUCCCUGAUAAGGAUGAGGUCCGUGGUUCAAAUCCACGUAAGCCCA
rnacentral:tRNA from 1 species